UACGAAGGGUGCAAGCGUUACUCGGCAUUACUGGGCGUAAAGCGUGCGUAGGUGGUUCGUUAAGUCUGAUGUGAAAGCCCUGGGCUCAACCUGGGAAUGGCAUUGGAAACUGGCGACCUAGAGUGCGGUAGAGGGUAGUGGAAUUCCCGGUGUAGCAGUGAAAUGCGUAGAGAUCGGGAGGAACAUCUGUGGCGAAGGCGACUGCCUGGACCAGCACUGACACUGAGGCACGAAAGCGUGGGGAGCAAACAGG
rnacentral:rRNA from 1 species